rnacentral:rRNA from 1 species
AACGAACGCUGGCGGCAUGCCUAACACAUGCAAGUCGAACGAGACCUUCGGGUCUAGUGGCGCACGGGUGCGUAACGCGUGGGAACCUGCCCUUAGGUUCGGAAUAACUCCCCGAAAGGGGUGCUAAUACCAGAUAAUGUCUUCGGACCAAAGAUUUAUCGCCUUUGGAUGGGCCCGCGUUGGAUUAGCUAGUUGGUAGGGUAAAAGCCUACCAAGGCGACGAUCCAUAGCUGGUCUGAGAGGAUGAUCAGCCACACUGGGACUGAGACACGGCCCAGACUCCUACGGGAAGCAGCAGUGGGGAAUAUUGGACAAUGGGCGAAAGCCUGAUCCAGCAAUGCCGCGUGAGUGAUGAAGGCCUUAGGGUUGUAAAGCUCUUUUACCCGGGAUGAUAAUGACAGUACCGGGAGAAUAAGCGCCGGCUAACUCCGUG